GCUAAUUAUAUGUAUUAACUUGACAGGCUAAGGGAUGCACAGAGAGCUGGUAAACUCUGUUUCUGAGUGUGUGUAUGAUGGCUGGCGUCUCCGGAAGAGACCAGCAUUUGAUUCUGUAGACUGAGUCAAGGAGAUCGUCCUUCCCAAUGUGGGCGGUCAUCAUCCAGUCCUCUGAGGGCCUGAACAGAGCAAGAAGGCAGAGGAAGGACAGUCUCUCCCUCUCUCCUUGAGCUGGGAUGUCCGUCUUCUCCAGCCCUCGGACGUCAGAGCUCCUGGUUCUCAGACCCUGGGGCUUGGACUGAGUUACAGCACCAGCUUCCCGGGUCUCCAGCUUGCAGACGGUAGAUGGUGGGACUUCUCGGCCUCCGUGAUCAUUGUGGCAGCAUCGCCCAAUCCACCGAGGCCGGAAUGGAACAGAAAGGCAGAGGAUGGGAGGAUCCACUCCUCUCCCUGCGUGAGCUGGGACAUCGGUCUUCUGGCCUCGCCCUCCCGUUCUCAGCCUUCAGACUGCCCGGCAUCUACACCACCGCCUUCCUGGGUCUGCAGCUGGCAGAAGGCACAUCAUGGGCCCCUCAGCCCCCACAAUCGUGU
rnacentral:lncRNA from 1 species